UCUCAUCAUUCUCAAGUUUGUCCCUGCGUUAUUCGCCGUCACUACCACCUGACGAUGUUUACGCAUGCGCAGAUAACUCCUGGCUCGGACAUCACGUGGUUAUUUGUGAAUCAUUCACAAUAAGUUGGAAGUCCAGCGCUCGUCCCUGUCGUUUCAUCUGCGUCCGUGUUCCUUUGUGCUGCCGGCUUUUUGGAUUUUCUUAGCGACUAUACUUCCCACGCGAGUGACCGUGGGACCCUGUUUCGUUUCCGAGAGCGGCAGAGUCCAGCAACCAGAGAAGCGUGUACUGAAGCCAUGCAGCAGGAGGAGACGCUGUCGUACGGUGGCAGCUGGUUGCGGCCUCGAGCGAGCCUCGCCGUCCGGAGUGCACCAAUCAUGGAUUUUUCCAGGGCGGACUUGCAGGCCUGAGUGAUGAUAGGCUGCUUAACAAGCUUGGAAUUAGCGCUUUCAAACGGCAGCGGCGUCUUCUUGGUCCUCGGAUUGUAAGACCAACGUCUUUACAAUGUCUUUACAACAAUGUCUUCCGCGUCUAAAGGAAGCUUUAGGUUCAGGAACUGUAGGCAGUUAUCACUGGCCAACUCAUGGCUGAAGGUGAGACCUCCAGAGGCGGAGUUACAUAUUUCUAGGAUGCAAUUAGUGGUAUCAUCAAGGUGCGGACACCUGAACUAUGACUAGGCAAUCGUCCACAUAUCGGAAAAUUCAAGACACUUGUUGACCUACACUCGUGGUGUGUUGUGUGUUUCUUUCGCUGUCCUCGUUUUUCGCGCAGUUUUAACCUCCCUUCAAGUAUGAACCAACUAGCCCUCAAGAACGUCCUACUAAAGUAUGUUCCCGAACCCAAUAAGGCUUAAUUUCAUGUUCCCUUCUCAAUAUGACGGACAAUGUAAAUACUGUGAACAGCUAGAACCACUCCGGCACAGUGUCAUAGAUUGUAAACAAAAUCCAGCCUCACCUCCUCUACCCCCAAGAGCGCUGGGAGACGCUGCUGUCCAGCUCCCGCCUGUUCGACCAGAUAAUGUCGCCGCCAAGACGAUGCAUGGAUUCCCGUGAACCACUCUGAAGAUCGAGCUGUCGUGCUCAUUACAGGUGCUCUCUGCUUUCGACAACGUGGCACACCAUUCCAAAGAACCAGAGCAAUGCCAGCUGCUGAGCCGCGCACGUAUCGCUACAUUCCUUGCCAAUCGUAUACCAUUCGCAGCGAGGGACGCCCCCUAUUCGCACGGGCACACCACAAGGCCUCAUGUACUCAACGACGCCUUGAUUGGACCCCAGCUGAAUGUCCUCCCUGGUAUCAGCCACGCCCUGCUUGCGGAUGACAUUACUAUAUGGACAACAGAUGGCUCCGAGGGUGCAUGACAAGAUGGCUUGCAACGUGCAGUCAACAGCGUACAGAGCUGCGCCACACGCGGUGGACUGCAACAGUGUGCUCCAGAAAAAAUCGCAGCUCGUUAUCGUAACGCGAGGCGAGCCUGAUGCCACACGAUAUUGCACUCCACAAUCAACCAAAUCCCCCGGGUGAACAAGCUUUUGCACAUGCAGAUCGACUCAUGGCGGAGGGGGGGGCCAUGUAGGUACUUAGUAUGCAGUUUGUUACGCAUCACAAACAGAAAGCCUGGCUUCAAGGAGGUCCUGCGACUCAUACAUGCACUCGCGAGCCACCACUGUACGCCACAUCCUUCAACAAUUCGGAGAUCGCAUGGACACUUCUCGAGCACCUCUCAAUUAUUGCACCUAAUCUCCGCAGUCAUAUCCCACCCAUUCGAAGAAACACGCAUCCCUCGCAGCAUGCUGUUCGAAGACAAUCUAGGGCGCAAGGUUUUAUGCUCGUACAUGUGGAUCCCACCCUUUACGUCGGUUCCGUUUCUCAGCGCAUGCUAUGAGCGGGCUGGGAGGCAAUGAAAUUGUUGCGGCCAAUCACGGAAAGGGAGGAUGUGCACUAGUUGUAGUGCCGCAAUAAUGCGACUGCGUUAUUGUUGUUUUUAAGACACCCAAGGAUACGCCAGCGUGAAUAUAUCUACCAAGGCUCACCACGUAUGCUCCAGUCGCUGCAAGCACCCUAUAUAUACGAACACGAGUCGGUGUAUGCGGUGGCAAUCAGCGCGC